UUCUUCUUAGUUUAAAGGUAGAACAUCAUUUUUCUAAAGUGAGAAAUCUGGUUCGAAUCCAGAAGAAGAAU
rnacentral:tRNA from 2 species